UACGUAGGGUGCGAGCGUUAAUCGGAAUUACUGGGCGUAAAGGGCGCGCAGGCGGCUCAUUUUGUCAGGCGUGAAAGCCCCGGGCUUAACCUGGGACUGCGUUUGAUACGGAUGGGCUAGAGUUCGGGAGAGGAGCGUGGAAUUCCAGUGUAGAGGUGAAAGUUCGUAGAUAUUGGGAAGAACACCGGUGGCGAAGGCGGCGCUCUGGACCGAGACUGACGCUGAGGCGGCGAAAAGCGUGGG
rnacentral:rRNA from 1 species